rnacentral:sRNA from 1 species
UGCAUUUGAAGCCCAUGAGGAUGAGAACCUCCGGGGGCGGGGAGGUUCGACUCGAGAGAACGUUGCGCCAGCAACGGCCCGCAGGGCGAGCCACGAAGUGGCGAGUAAUCCUCUAUCACCGACCA